GAUGCAUCCAGUAGGGGGUAACAGUAAAUGAGCCAUCAGAACCCUAUACCUAUGCGGGGAUGAAAAGAAGUUUGUUUGCCAACCGCCAUAAGCAAGAAGACGACGAAGAAGAGGUAUGUUAAAUACUCGUUAAAGUUACUAUUGUUCUAUAAAACAAAGGUCGCAAAAAUUCGUUUCAAUAUGUGAAGAAACAUCUUUAUUUAUAUGCAAAGACAAUAUUGACAGUCAGGUUGAUGGUUUGUCUGGCUCAAUUUUAGCUAACCACGUGAAAGUUUAGCUGCCCCAUAUUUUAUGUAGUCCUACUUACUCUGUCUCACUUAUUUAUUUAUUUUUUUAUAUAUAUAUUUUUUGUUUUUUGUCUCUAGCUUGUGUGAGAUGGCCUUUUCUGGUGUUAAAAUUCCAUCAAUACAAAGAGGUGUUGAAUUACCCACCCUUAACAAAUGCACCUCCUGCUGUUCCCUGUACCACUGUCCUUUCCGAGGAGGCAAGGUGCCUGUGUGAAGGGACAGUAGGACCACUCUACAGGGGUUUUCCAGGGCUAACCCAUGACUUGCCACAACAUGUUGUUGCCCAGAGUAACCGAAUCUCAUCCAGCCAGGCACUGGUGGACUUCAUUGUGGCAAAAAAAAGGAACAGAUUACCACAUUCAAUCCAUCAUCAGAGGCCAAAAGAAAUCAAAGUGGCUUGACACUUUUUCCAAGUGUUCUGUUAAGACGGUUCCUGUGCCAGUGUACAUUGAGGAUCAGGAGCAAAUUGAUCUAAUUUACUCUCACCUGUCUUCAAUUCUGGACAGCACAACCACACACACCCACAGUGAUGAGAUCAAGUUCAUCAUGCAUGUCCUUUUUCCAGAGUCCAUCAUCUGUGCCCUUGCUUUUGUUGAAAAUUUGUCUGUCCUGGAGGCUGAGGAGAAAUUUCUGACAGGACCUGCCAUCAACAUAAGGUAUUGCAGGGAUAAUAUUAAGGAAAAAUUAUCACUCUAAAAAAUGUUGGGUUGUUUUUUUAACCCAACUGCUGGGUUAAGCCUGUUGGGUCAUUUAGUUGGGUUGUUUUGCUCAGUGUUGGGUUGUUUUUGUGUAACCCAACAUUGGGUUACUGAUUUUAUCCAAUCAAGUGACAGUUAAGAGAGUAAGCCACUCCCCCUGCUCGACGAGCCAAGCGCUACCUUCGCGGCCAUUUUGAAUCACCUCAGGAAUCGCCUCAGGAACAACCUUCCUUCAGCGACGACA